UAUGGAAGGUGCAAGCGUUGUUCGGAAUUAUUAAGCGUAAAGCGCGUGUAAGUGGUCGAGUAAGUCAGAUGUGAAAUCCUUCUGCUUAACAGAAGAAGUGCAUUUGAAACUGCUCGGCUAGAGUACGGGAGAGAAAAAUGGAAUUCCCGGUGUAGAGGUGAAAUUCGUAGAUAUCGAAAGGAACACCAGUGGCGAAGGCGGCUCUCUGGUCCGAUACUGACGCUGAGACGCGAAAGCGUGGAAAGCAAAC
rnacentral:rRNA from 1 species